UACGGAGGGUGCAAGCGUUAGUCGGAUUUACUGGGCGUAAAGGGUGCGUAGGUGGUCGGGUAAGUCUGAUGUGAAAUCUCGGAGCUCAACUCCGAAACGGCAUUGGAUACUAUUCGGCUGGAGGGUUGGAGGGGGGACUGGAAUACUUGGUGUAGCAGUGAAAUGCGUAGAUAUCAAGUGGAACACCAGUGGCGAAGGCGAGUCUCUGGACAAUUCCUGACACUGAGGCACGAAAGCUAGGGGAGCAAACAGG
rnacentral:rRNA from 1 species